rnacentral:rRNA from 1 species
AUUGAACGCUGGCGGCAUGCCUUACACAUGCAAGUCGAACGGCAGCACGGGAGCAAUCCUGGUGGCGAGUGGCGAACGGGUGAGUAAUGUAUCGGAACGUGCCCAGUCGUGGGGGAUAACGCAGCUAAAGCUGUGCUAAUACCGCAUACGAUCUAUGGAUGAAAGCGGGGGAUCGCAAGACCUCGCGCGAUUGGAGCGGCCGAUAUCAGAGUAGGUAGUUGGUGGGGUAAAGGCCCACCAAGCCGACGAUCUGUAGCUGGUCUGAGGGGACGACCAGCCACACUGGAACUGAGACACGGUCCAGACUCCUACGGGAGGCAGCAGUGGGGAAUUUUGGACAAUGGGCGCAAGCCUGAUCCAGCAAUGCCGCGUGCAGGAUGAAGGCCUUCGGGUUGUAAACUGCUUUUGUACGGAACGAAACGGUUCUCUCUAAUACAGGGGGCUAAUGACGGUACCGUAAGAAUAAGCACCGGCUAACUACGUGCCAGCAGCCGCCGUAA